GGGCGCGGUCCAUAGAAUAGUUUCAUGAUCCACGGUGGGUGGAAGCCUCUUUGCCUGAUCCGACGGUCGAAAAUAAAUCUGGAGUUUGAUCCAAUGGCUAGUAUUGAUCCCGAUCGUGUUAAGAAAAUCAGAGGUGCAGAUCAACGAUCAAAAAUUUAUCUGGAGCAUGAUCAGAUGGUUGAGAAUGCAUCCGACCCUGAGAAGGACUUGAUCAAUAAUUUUUGGGCUGAUCUAGGCGGUCAAAAUGUGAUCUGACAGCCAAAAUUAAUUCCUACAGUUAUAAUACGA
rnacentral:lncRNA from 1 species